CAUUGACGACCAAAGUAUUUUGUCUCCAACUGUACGUUACUUCAUUAAUCGCUUUUUUGGUCUCUUAAUUUUCCAAAGCAUUUUUUCUGCGGUCCAAAACCCAAGUCACUGCCUGUAAAGAACUUAAAAGUGGGCAGUUUUUCAGUAAGUUUUUCAAGAUGCCAGUAAUAAUAAUAAUAAUCGUUUCAAAAAUAAUAAUGCAUUCAAAUUUUAAAAUUUUCAAUUUUUCACGGUUGGCAAUGCUGCUCCAUCACACUAUGUGAUAAAGUGUGGUUAUGUCUGAUUCAUUUGUAAUUUUUCAAUUUCAACAAAUUAAAAGCAUGUCGGGAGUGGAAGUGAUUAUUGAAGACUUGCAAAGCCACCCUUGGUGCCCCCACGGCCCCACUCUUCUUUUUUCACGUAAUACUAAUGGAAUUAAGAGACGAUUUUUUGCUUGUUCAGCCUGCAGGGACCGCAAAUUGUGCCCCUUUUUUCUAUACGAAGACGAGAAACAUAAAUAUAAAACUGAAGUGUGGCACAAGGAGCGUGAAAAGUUUCUUCGGAAAAUCGAUCAUAGAAAAUUAUUUCUAAUAUUGAGCAAAAUUCAACAAUUAUCUCCGAGUGACAGGGCAUAUUGCCAUACGUGUUCUAGCUUUCAGUUGAAAAAAUUCUGGGACAAACACAUGGAACAUGAUUUUGUUAUAAAUAUUAGUGAUUAUCAAAUUAAACAUCCAAGUGAGUUUUUGUCCCCAUUGGAAGAUGCGAAGAAGGAAGCACAGUUUUUAUUUUCACGAGCUUCCGUCAGAGUAAUUGUGGAUAUUUUUAAAUGCUUGAAGUAUCGCAAAAUUGUUUGUUUGGGGACUCCCAGAAUACAUGAAUUUAUCACAAAUCAGUGCCCUGAUAUGGACAGUCUUUUAUUAGAUUUCGAUUCACGUUAUCAUAAUUUCUAUGGCCCUUUGCAAUUUUGUUGGUACAAUAGUUUUAAUAACCAUUUCUUUCACCCUGAGUCUCAAGAAGUAUUUGACGAUUUUUUAAAAUCUGAAAGUGUGGUCAUGAUUUUAGACCCUCCUUUUGGAGGUCGGGUAGAACCCCUAGCCCAAACAAUCAAUCAAAUUACUCAAAAAUACAAUCGUCUGAACAAACUUAAAGUGGAAUUGCCGAUUUUUUGGAUAUUUCCUUACUUUAUGGAACCGCAAAUAUUAAAUAGUCUUUCCGACUAUUCCAUGUUGGAUUAUAAAGUCGACUAUGACAAUCAUCCUUUGUUUCAAGAUGGCGCUAAAGCUCGAAAAUUUGGAUCACCAGUCCGAAUUUUCACGAAUGUUGACCCAAGCUCUUCCGCCAGAAGAAGGCUACAAGUUUUGUGCAGAAUGCAACAAAUGGGUUUCAAAAGAAAACAAACAUUGCCAAAUAUGUCGGAAAUGUACUUCAAAAGAUGGCCGGACGUACACCCAUUGCCUCAAGUGUGAAAAGUGUGUUAAACCGAGUUGGCAGCAUUGCAAAAAAUGUAACCGAUGUUGCCAGCCUGAUCAUAAAUGUGGGAAAUUGGUGUUUAGUCAGGAUUGUUUUCAUUGCAAACAACCGGGGCAUAAAAAACGAGAAUGUCCCAAUGUUAAUCACACAGAAUUGCAUAAGAAACGAAAAUUAAAAACAAAAGAUAAGGCGAAACGACUUAAAACUUAAAUAUACUGUUAGGAAUCCAUAGAAUUAAUUUCAUUUUUGACAAGUUCCGCCGCUUCCUCCAUUUCCAAUCCUUCCAAAAUAUACAAAAAGUUAUCCAAGGUGGCAUCUUCGUCGUCAUCAAACCACAACUGAAGCAUAUUUCUGGCCUGGUCAAUCUCUUUCUCAUUUUCCAUUGUGAAAAAUUGUAUUUCAUCAGUUUUAAAACCCAACUUACUGGCUAAUUUUUUCCAAUUCGGGGCGACUUUCUCACUGAAUAGUUGCAAUUGAUUUGGGUUUAUUUUAUGUUCAACUCGAGUGUUUUUGUCAUCCAUGAAUUCCUCCGUUUCUGACGGUUUAAUGUCUUCAGUGUUUUCAUCAACCUGCGUGUCUUUAAACAAAUUUUCUUCCUCGGUGUCGUUUUGUUGGGACUCUUGUGAAUUUUCCGUGAUACGUCCUGGCUUAUCAUGGGCAAUUUUCUUCACCAUCAUUUCCAAAUACGAAGAAAGGGGAUUCAUAAUUACAGUACUGUAAGUGAAGAAGUGGGGGCUCCGUUUAGCCAAUAGUCUCAAGGCCCUCCAUCCGUAAUUUCCAUCUUUUAGUAAAUUAUCUUCAUCUUUAACGGGGGUUG